CAUUUAAUACUUUCAAAUCACAUACUUAUGCAAAUACAAAUACAAUUACAUAUAUAAAUGUCCAAACAUUAAUAAAACUUAUACAAAUAUACUUACAUAUACAAAUAUACAAACAUACAUAUACUUGUACAAGUAUACAAACGUGUACAAAAUUAUAUACUUAUACAAAUACGCUGACCUACACGAUUUUAAAUAAAUUUUACUUAUCCGUUUACAUUUGACUUUAUCGUAUUGAAUUGAAAUUUAUGUCUGAUUGAGUACGGCGUCAUUACCGACUUGAAAAUAGCUUUCUUCGUAUACACCUGAUCAAUCAAAACUUCAUUAUGAUUUGAUCCUGCAAAAUUUGCUUGAAAUUACUCAUUUAUAGCAAUUACUUCAAUCUGUUCAAUAGGACCUGCAUCAAUUUAGUCAUUAUCUACUCCAAUAAGAUUUUCGAACAUUUGAUGAUUUGUGAGGAAAAACACAAAUUAAUUUUAUUAUACACUCAGUAAUCAAAAAUAUAAAAAUUCAACAAUCAGAACGAAUUCAUAAUCGUAAUAGUUAUUCGAAUUCAGAAAACAUAUACAAAAUCGAGAAUGAAUUCAAAAACAUAUUUUUCAAAAAAAAGUAUUUCAUGAAUUUUC
rnacentral:lncRNA from 1 species